GCUAGACAUAGCAGUAAUGCAGUUAACACAUUAAGUGUGCCGCCUGGGGAGUACGGUCGCAAGAUUAAAACUCAAAGGAAUAGACGGGGACCCGCACAAGCGGUGGAGCAUGUGGUUUAAUUCGACGAUACGCGAAGAACCUUACCUGGACUUGACAUAGUAAGAAGAUUUAAGAGAUUAGAUUGUGUCUGCUUGCAGAAACUUAUAUACAGGUGCUGCACGGCUGUCGUCAGCUCGUGUCGUGAGAUGUUGGGUUAAGUCCCGCAACGAGCGCAACCCUCGUCCUUAGUUGCUAACAGUUCGGCUGAGAACUCUAAGGAGACUGCCUGGGUAACCAGGAGGAAGGUGAGGACGACGUCAAGUCAUCAUGGCCCUUACGUCCAGGGCUACACACGUGCUACAAUGGGGCAUACAAAGAGCAGCAAUACGGUGACGUGGAGCAAAUCUCAAAAAUGCCUCCCAGUUCGGAUAGCACUCUGCAACUCGAGUGCUUGAAGUUGGAAUCGCUAGUAAUCGUAGAUCAGCAAUGCUACGGUGAAUACGUUCCCGGGUCUUGUACUCACCGCCCGUCACACCAUGGGAAUUGAACUCAUUCGAAGCGGGAAUGCUAAAGUAGCUACCCUCCACAGUGGAUUCAGUAACUGGGGUGAAGUCGUAACAAGGUAGCCG
rnacentral:rRNA from 1 species